rnacentral:lncRNA from 1 species
AGCCUGCUAGUGUUCCACUGGACUGUCUAGAAGAGUCCGUGGUCGUCAUCCAUACUCCGCUAGAUGACAGAAUCAACAACAUCAACAUCGAGGCCUCUCAUCAUUUUAUCACACAUCACCUAUUACAUCUACCCAUGUUUUACCCCAACAUUUUCGUAGAUAUAAAAUACAUAUACAGUUUAAAUCAUUGAAAACAUGUAUAAAAAUGUUCAUCCAGCAUAGAUAGCAAGUAUUCAGAUAAUAUGCACACAUAGCACGUAAUUUAUAUAAAAUACUUCAUAUCUAUGUGUAAGCUGAAAGUAACUAUGCACUCACCUGAAAGGUGGUGACUCAGCACUCGGACAACGCUUCGAUACUCUCAAAACGAUUUUCCUUCGAUAAAACCUAGUAUCGAUACCACUAGGGUUUAGUCUAACAAUAACCGUGACAAAUUAAUUGUUUAACUAUUAUUAUUAUUAUUAUAUAAGCGUUAAUAACACUCAAUAUAACUCAUAAUAAUAGCCCAAAUAAUUAUUUUAAAGACCAAAUAACAUUCCUAUAAUUAUUUGAAAGCUAUAUUAAAAAUUGCGUAAGCAUAGCACACUUACAGCGAAUUUUAUCGAAACCGGAACUUAAUUAAAACAUUUUUUCGAAACCGAAAGACUCCUUUUUCUCGGGACUCCGGGAGCCUCGGGGCUUCCUUAGGGUGCUAGGGGAUUUAUCUAGGGCUUAGGGGUGUUUAGAGCACUUAGAGAGAGAAAGUUUCUAGAGAGAGAGUUAGUUUUGGUGUAAAAAUGAAGGCUGCCUUCGGACCCUUUUAUAGCCUGCGAGGCCUCGGUACGCUGGGCGUACCUCGGACCUACGCUGGGCGUAGUGGCUCGGAUAAGGCUGCCAGAUGGACUCCAGCUGUCUCGCAUUCGGAAGGGAUAAGACAGGAGGGUACGCGGGGCGUACAGACUUCGGAUGCGGGGCGUAAUGCGAGGUGAUGUGUCACCAUCCGAAGCGAGGACCGUGGGCCGCAAGCGACGGCUGUGAUCUUGCCACGUCAUCAAUCCAUGCAUCAGCUUCGCAAAUUCACCUUCCAACUUCUAAAAAUCAUAACCUUCACAUACGAGCUCCGUUUUCGAUGUUCUUUAUAUCCACGUGAAGGUGGGAACGUACUCUACAACUUUCGUUUAGACUCCAUCGGCUAAUUUUGACUCGAUUUUAAAUUUUAUAUUAUUAACGGGCCUGGACAGGAUUGGUCCGUUAAAUCCUCAUAACUUCUUCAUCCGACAUCCGUUUUCGCCUAUCUUUUUCUCGUUACGCUACUUUUAACGAGAUCUUCGAUUCUCGUUUAGGUCGUGUCGGCUAAAAAUCACUGGAUCUAAUAUUCGAAUUUCGGGCUGUACACUACUAAUCCGAAACUUCGAAAAAUCAUAACUUCUUCAUACGAAGUCAGAUUUGGGCGUUCUUUUUAUCGAUGUUCUUAGUUUAACAUAUUCUACAACUUCCGUUUAGAUCGCUAAGACUAAAUCUCGCUCUAUUGUAAAUUCACUAUUUACGCUUCCUGGUAUCGUGCCGGUUCUGUCGCGAAACUUCGACGAGUCAUAACUUCUUCGUUAUAACUCGGAUUUCGGCGUUCCUUAUAUGUACGGAAACCUUGAGACAUAUUCUACAACUUUAUGUAGAGAUAUCGGGCUUAUCUCACACUUUAAUUUUGACGCUCAUUUUUAUUCUAUAUUAAUUAUACAUUUAUAAUUAAAUAGUAAACACAUAAACACAUAUAAUUCACAUAAUACUCAAAUAUUUCAUCUUUAUUACUUCAAAAAGAGUUACAAGAGUUGACCUGGACUAUUACAUUGACAAAAAUGCUUAGCCUUGAAACCCGGGCGUUACAAUUCUCUCCCCCUUAGGAUGAUUCCGUCCCGGAAUCAUGCAUUAGCAAACAGAUGUGGAUAGCGAAUCAUCAUGUCAUCCUCUGUUUCCCAAGUGAGAUUUGGCCCAUUCGAAUGUUUCCAUCGGACUAGCACUAAGUCGACCAUCUUGCGUCGUAAUUUCUUAGUCUUACGGUCAACAAUUGCCUCGGGCUCUUCGAUCAACCUUUUGUUCUCAUCCAUCCUUAACUCUGAGAUUGGAAUUAUGUCGGGAACAUCUCCCGUGAAUUUCCUCAGAUAACACACAUGGAAGGUGUUAUGAAUACCAUUGAGUUCUUCGGGCAAUUCUAGCUUGUAAGCUUGGUUCCCAAUCUUCUGAAGAACUUUGAACGGUCCAAUAAACCUUGGACUCAACUUUCCUCGUUUCCCAAAUCGUAUAAGUCCCUUCCACGGUGAGACUUUAAGCAAAACGGAAUCCCCAACUUCGAAAGUUAUCGGUCGUCUUUUCUUGUCAGCAUAGCUCUUCUGACGAUCCUGGGCUGCUAACAUCCUUUCCCUAAUCACCUUCAACUUCUCAGCAGUCUCAUGGACUAUCUCGGGGCCCAUAAACUGCUUCUCUCCGGCUUCAAGCCAACAAGACGGCGUACGACACUUUUGCCCAUACAAGGCUUGGUAAGGAGCCAUCUUGAUGCUCGAGUGAAAACUAUUGUUGUAGGAAAAUUCUACCAGAGGUAAGUGCUCGUCCCAAUUCCCUUGGAAUUCGAGGGUACAUGCUCUCAGCAUAUCUUCCAAUGUCUGAAUCGUUCUUUCGCUCUGACCAUCAGUUUGCGGAUGGUAAGCCGUACUCAAACACAACUUUGUACCUAACUCCUCUUGUAGACUCCUCCAAAACCUUGACGUGAAACGACUAUCACGAUCUGAUACAAUCGUAAGAGGGACACCGUGAAGUCUUACAAUUUCCUUCACGUAAGCAUUUGCGAGCUUAUCCAUAGACCACUUCUCGUUGGCUGCUAUGAAGUGUGCACUCUUGGUGAAACGAUCCACGACUACCCAAAUCAUGUCGUGACCGUUCUUCGUCCUGGGCAGUUUAGUCACAAAAUCCAUGGUGAUGUCUUCCCAUUUACCCAUGGGUACAGGUAAAGGUUCUAAACUCCCAUACGGUUUCUGAUGUUGUGCCUUAACCCUCGCACAUGUUACGCACUCGGCCACAUACUUCGCAACAUCGAGCUUCAUCGUCGGCCACCAGUAGUAGGGUUUUAGGUCCCUAUACAUUUUAGUGCUACCGGGAUGAAUCGAGUACAUGGUCUUGUGUGCUUCUUCCAUCAGAAGAUCUCUUAUUCCUCCCGUCUUAGGUACCCAAAUUCGAUCUUGGAAUACCUUCAGUCCUCGACUGUUUGUACCGAACACUAACGUUCUUCCCAAACGUUCUUCCUUUCGGUCAUUUUUCUCUAAAGCUUCUUCUUGAGCUUUCCUGAUACUUUCCACAAUCGUCGAGACGACUUCAAUUCUUAACGCUCUUGGCCUUUUCCUUUCCAGAUUGACUUUCCGACUGAGAGCAUCAGCAACAAUAUUUGCUUUACCUGGGUGGUAAAGUAUCUCACAGUCGUAGUCCUUGAGAAGUUCUAGCCAGCGUCGUUGCCUCAUGUUCAACUCCUUCUGAUUAAAGAGAUACUGGAGACUCUUAUGAUCAGUGAAGAGCUUGCACUUCGUGCCGUAGAGGUAAUGCCUCCAUAUCUUUAAGGCAAAAACUACCGCUGCCAACUCCAGAUCAUGAGUGGGGUAGUUCUUUUCGUGCUCUUUCAAUUGUCGAGAUGCGUAUGCUAUCACCUUUUCUCUUUGGGUCAGAACACAACCCAACCCGACUCCAGAAGCGUCACUAUAAACCGCGAAAUCUUCGACUCCAUCGGGUAGAGAAAGUAUCGGUGCUUCACAUAACUUCUUCUUUAGCUUCUCGAAUGCCUCAUCGUGUUUCUCACUCCACGUAUACGUAGCUCCUUUAUGAGUCAAAGCUGUUAAUGGAGCAGCUAUCGAAGAAAAGCCUUGGAUAAAUCGUCGAUAAUAUCCGGCUAAUCCUAGAAAGCUUCGAAUCUCCGUGGGACUCUUUGGACGUUCCCACUUCAUUACAGCCUCGAUCUUUGCGGGGUCAACCAUUAUUCCCUCCUGGUUAACAACAUGACCCAAGAAUUGGACUUCCCGUAUCCAAAAGUCGCAUUUGGAGAACUUUGCAAAAAGCUUCUCCUUCUUCAACACUUCUAAUACUUCCCGUAGAUGCUUGCCAUGCUCCUCUUGGCUUUUCGAGUAGAUGAGAAUGUCGUCGAUGAACACUAUCACGGAUUUAUCGAGGAAUGGUUUACAAACCCUAUUCAUCAAAUCCAUGAAUGCUGCGGGAGCAUUGGUUAGCCCGAAUGACAUAACCAAGAACUCGUAGUGUCCAUAUCUCGUUCUGAAUGCAGUCUUCUCAAUAUCCUGCUUUCUCACCUUUAGCUGAUGAUAUCCUGACCUAAGAUCGAUCUUUGAGAAGUAGCUCGAACCUUGCAGCUGAUCGAAUAGGUCAUCAAUCCUCGGCAAUGGAUACUUGUUCUUCACCGUUGCCUUAUUCAGCUCUCGGUAGUCUAUACACAUUCUCAUACUUCCGUCCUUCUUCUUCACGAAUAACACCGGAGCUCCCCAGGGUGAUGAACUAGGUCGAAUAAAACCGUUGUCCAACAGCUCCUGAAGUUGCGUCAUGAGCUCCUUCAUCUCCGUCGGUGCUAAUCGGUAAGGUGCCUUUGCUAUCGGUGUUGUUCCUGGUAACAAGUCUAUACGAAACUCCACUUGCCUAUCAGGUGGUAAUCCGGGAAGAUCUUCGGGAAAGACUUCCGGAUAAUCACACACAACCGGUAUAUUCUGCACCUCUUUCUUCUCCUUCUUGGCAUCGAUUACGAAUGCCAAGUAUGAUGCACAUCCUUUGGACAAACAUUUCCUGGCUUUCAUCAGGGAGAUGAUUCCAGAAUUCACUCUGCGUUUGUCCCCAUACACCAUAAAUGAUUCUUUUCCGGGUGGGUUUACCUUUACUAUCUUCUUUCGGCAUUGAAUCUCAGCAUCGUUGGCGCUAAGCCAAUCCAUACCCAAAACGAUGUCGAAACCGUUUAACUCUAUGGGUAAUAGCUCUUCGUGGAAUUCGUUUCCGUUUAGGUCAAUGACGAUGUUCCUAAUACGAUUACUAACAGGUACGAAUUUGCCACUGGCAACUUCUACAAUCAGGGCAUUAUCUAGUUUUUCUACAGGCAAUGCUAAUUUCCCACCAAAUUUAUGCGACACAAAGGAGUAGUUGGCUCCGGAAUCAAAUAGUAUAUUUGCAGGCAAACCAUUUACAAGAAAGGUACCUGAAGCGACGUCUGCUGCCUCCUUUGCAGCCUCGAGCGUCAUCUGGAAGGCUCUCGCCUUCGGCUUCGGUGGUAUGUUGGGUCUUCCUGUCUCCUUCUUCUUCGGGCAGUCCUUCAAAAUGUGCCCUUCUUCAUUGCACCCAUAACAGGCUUUCUGGUUGAGGGUGCAUUCAUUGGCGUAGUGCCCAGGCUUUCCGCACUUGUAACAAGUGACCCCUCCGUCACACUUCCCAGAGUGCUUCUUCUUGCACUUGUCACACCACUUCGCUUCUGAUCCUCCUCCCCUCGAACCAGACUUCGAGAAUCUACUCUUCUUGUUGGACUUCGAGGAUCCAUUGAACUUCCGUUUCUCACCAACCUCAGCCCUCUCCAGACCUCUUUCCUUUUGUUGGGUCUCCACGUUCUUAGCUGCUCGAACAGCUGAUUUCAGAGUGGUUGCCAUCUUGACUGUUGGGCCAAAGUCAGCCGGCAGUCCGUUUGCGAAUUUCUCAAUUUUGGAAAGUUCGGUUGGCACUAGGUAUGGAAACAACUUCAUCUUUUCCGUAAAUGCAGCAGCAUAGUCAUCGAUGCUCAUUCUCCCCUUCUUCAAAUUUUGGAACUCAUUGUUCAGAUCAAUCAGGUCUAUCUCUGAACAGUACUGCGCCUUCAGUUGUUCCAAGAACUCAUCCCAUGACAUUUUCAGAGCUUCUCCCCGUGGCAUUGUAUCUGCCAAUAGCUUCCACCAGCUCAAGACUCCAGUUUUCAAUUGUCUCACAGCGAAGACAGUCUUCUGCUUCUCGCUGCAGUCGCAGCUCUCAAACACCAUCUCCAUCUCGGAGAUCCAGUCCAUAAUCUCAACAGGCUUUGGGCUUCCUGAGAGACUUGGUGGUUUCGCACCCAAGAAAUUUUUGUACAUCCGCCCAUCCUUGUUGUUUCUCCCUUCUGGGCCAUCCUUUUGCUCACCUUGAGUCCCUACUUGACUCACUUGGCGGCUAUAGUUCCCUUCCUCAGAUGGCUCGGGAACUGGCUCCGUCGGUUCAACAUGUAUGGUAGGUUCGUCCCUAUUUUCGUGGAGCAUCCGUCUCAUUUCUUCCCUUUGUUCAGCUAGCAUAGCCUGAAUCAUGGCUUGAACUCCAGCCAUGGUGACUGGCUCAGGUGCAACUUCUUCAACAACAGGUAUUUGCUGAACCACUGGGGGUUGGUUCCUACCUCCAUUUGCGUUCACGUUUCCGCUACGGGUCCUUGCCAUCUUGAUCUAUACACCGAAUAAGGUGAAUUUAGAUCUUUAUUUAGGAUAGACGUUUUAAAUCGUCCUUAUCACUCCGAAACGUUUACAUGCUAGUUCUAAUAUCGUAGUCGUACGUUUAGAAUCCUAAACACAUAAGGUUUCCAGAUCCGGUCGGCAACAGACCAUAGAUCCGAACAAUUAACAGCAUAUUAUGCACAAAGCAUUUAGCACAUAAAAGCAUUUUAGGCACAAUUCCUAAAAUAAGCUAGUGCUCACACCUCACAAUCAUCGCUUAGCAUUCUAAGUUUAAGUCUAGAAAUCCUACAAAUUCCUAGUUCGCUUAAACUAAUGCUCUGAUACCAACUGUGACAUCCCCAAAAUCACGGCCAGAAAAGACCGGUUUGUUUAUGCUUUGUUUAAAAAUCAGAGUUACAUUUUAAAUGAAAGUGUUGCGGAAUUUGUCCCAAAACAAAAAUAUGAUAAAGAUUUAUCAAAAGCAUUUCCAUAGAAAUGUAUUUCAUUAAAAGACUCGGGAUGUCAUGUUCGUACAGAUCAAAAGCAUAAACAGUACAAUAUAAGCCUUACUACAUUAUUUCAUAUCUACAGGCCUAUAUCCGUAAUCCCUCGUCCAAAACAUCACACCUAUGCUCAUGCGCCACUACCUGUAAUACAUAAAACUGAGUGGGUCAGGCUUGGGAGCCUGGUGAGCACAUAGGGUUUUCAACCCACAAUAAAUAAGUUUAUUAAUUUCAUCAAUCAACAAUAACCCGAUUACCCGUUCCCGUUAUCCUCACUUUACGUCCCUAAACACCUAUCAUAAGGGACCUAGCCUAAGGAUCAUCAUCGGGACGGACACUACUGCUAAGGGGAUUCCUCAGCAAUAAAUGUCCUAAAGGCAACCAUGUGGGGGAUGGAGUACACCGGUGAACACAUCGUUCACAAACACCUACAGGUUGCGAGCCUGCUAGUGUUCCACUGGACUGUCUAGAAGAGUCUGUGGUCGUCAUCCAUACUCCGCUAGAUGACAGAAUCAACAACAUCAACAUCGAGGCCUCUCAUCAUUUUAUCACACAUCACCUAUUACAUCUACCCAUGUUUUACCCUAACAUUUUCGUAAAUAUAAAAUACAUAUACAGUUUAAAUCAUUGAAAACAUGUAUAAUAAUGUUCAUUCAACAUAGAUAGCAAGUAUUCAGAUAAUAUGCACACAUAGCACAUAGU